rnacentral:lncRNA from 1 species
CCACGUACACUUGCAUGUGUGCUUGGGCAUAACAAGUUUUUGGCAUAGUUGUCGGGGACUUGUAAUUUGGCAACUGCUUUAGUUUUUGUUUUACAUUUUUUAUUUCUUUGGUUCUUUUCACUUGGUCUUGGUUUUAAAUUUGCAGGUAUCAGUUUAAAAUCUAUUAAAAUAGCAAGGUACCAAGAAUUAGUUGAACCAAACCCUGAGCCCG